rnacentral:ncRNA from 1 species
UAGGAGGAACCGAAAAUCCUUUAAAGAGUAGGGA